rnacentral:rRNA from 1 species
UACGUAGGGUGCGAGCGUUGUCCGGAAUUAUUGGGCGUAAAGGGCUCGUAGGCGGUUUGUCGCGUCGGGAGUGAAAACCUUGGGCUUAACUCAGGGCUUGCUUUCGAUACGGGCAGACUAGAGGUAUGCAGGGGAGAACGGAAUUCCUGGUGUAGCGGUGAAAUGCGCAGAUAUCAGGAGGAACACCAGUGGCGAAGGCGGUUCUCUGGGCAUGAUCUGACGCUGAGGAGCGAAAGUGUGGGGAGCGAACAGG